rnacentral:rRNA from 1 species
UACAGAGGUCCCGAGCGUUGUUCGGAUUCACUGGGCGUAAAGGGUGCGUAGGUGGUGAGGUAAGUCGGAUGUGAAAUCUCCGAGCUCAACUCGGAAAUGGCAUUGGAAACUACCUUGCUCGAGGGUUGGAGGGGGGACUGGAAUACUUGGUGUAGCAGUGAAAUGCGCAGAUAUCAGGAAGAACACCCGUGGCGAAGGCGGCUCUCUGGGACGGUACUGACGCUGAGACGCGAAAGCGUGGGGAGCGAACAGG